rnacentral:rRNA from 1 species
GACGAACGCUGGCGGCGUGCUUAACACAUGCAAGUCGGACGGUUUGCGCUGGAAGGUUCGCUGGAAGGCGCAGAUAGUGGCGGACGGGUGAGUAACGCGUGAGGACAUGUCUGCAGGAGGGGGAUAACGUUUGGAAACGGACGCUAAGACCCCGUAAGCCGGGAGGUAAAAGUGGCGAAAGCCAGCCUGUGGAGUGACUCGCGUCCUAUCAGCUAGUUGGCGGGGUGAAGGCCCACCAAGGCGAUGACGGGUAGCCGACCUGAGAGGGUGGCCGGCCACACUGGAACUGAGAUACGGUCCAGACUCCUACGGGAGGCAGCAGUGGGGAAUAUUGGCCAAUGGGCGCAAGCCUGAACCAGCCAUCCCGCGUGCAGGAAGACGGCCCUAUGGGUUGUAAACUGCUUUUCCAGGGAGAGAAACUUACGCACGUGUUGCGUGACUGACGGUACCCUGGGAAUAAGCAUCGGCUAACUCCGUG